UGCUGGGUUGAAGUUUGGUGGCUCCUCCCCCAAAGUUCACCGGUGGAUUCAGCGGCUGUCAGUCAGAGCUUCGUGUCUCUCUUGAGCUCCCACACCGCUGAUGACGGUUCAUUUAAGGGAAAAUGACGUUAAAUACAAGGUUGGCACCAACAUGGUGGAAUACCUCCAGCAGGCUGAAGUGUCAAGGCCGUACCCCUACAUCCUGACGUUGGGAGAUGAUGACCAGCGCUGCUCUCAGGCAUUCGUCAUUCUGGUGGGACAGGCUCUGGAGCAAUGCACACUACUUGGGGCGGUUGAUGUGUGCUUCAAGGCAUUUUAUAUUUUUGACAUUAACUAUUUAAAGUAGUGUGCUCCUGUAUAGGACUUUUUGUAAUGUUGCUAUGAAAUAGCGAGGCCUACUUGAAAAGUCAAAGACAGUGUUUGUAUGUAAAAAUGAGACCAGGGCUGAAUAGUUUUGUUCUGCAGAAAAGAUAUCUAAUGUCACAGAGAGAUCCUGCUCUGUAGAAGCUGCCUCAGCCUAUUUGUGUUAUUACUCCAUUCUGCCCUUGUGAGUAAUAGUAUAGUAAUGAUGUCGCUGUUGAUUAUCUGUUCUUGUGCUUUUGAAAAAUAAACGUUUUUUCUAUGAACAUUUAA